GGUGCCCUCAGGUGGACGCCCCCCGCCGGGGCUGUUUGAUCCAGUUCGAGGACAAUUCCCAGUUUUUCGUUCUCUGGAAAGACAUCAGCCCGGCGGCCGUGCCCGGGGACGACCCCUCGUGCUGCGUCUGCGCCGGGAAUUCCC